ACUGAGGAAACCUUUCAGUUAGAGACAUUUGAAGCAGUCAUGCAGCACUAAGUGGUUAAGAACAGUAGACAUGUGCAGCCCAGUAUAACCAGCAGAUGUGAGGGGCGGAGCCCUGCUCUCCUCCCAGUGGCUGCAGUGGAAGCUGAUUGGUUCAAACGACUUGAUUCCAGCUGAGAACAUCAGACUGAACCGUCACAGCUUCUCUGUCAACAUGGAGAAACUGGCUUCACUUCUGUUCUUCUCAGCUCUUGUAGGUCACAGCUUGGAAGAUGAUGUCACCGCCAGCAGUGCUGAGGUGUUUUCAGCAUCGGGCCGUCCUGUCACUCUGUCCUGUCAAUAUUCUGUUAAAGCUGAAAACCUCCAGUGGUAUCGACAGGAUCCUGGAUCAGCUCCUCACUAUCUUCUCCUGAUCACUGAUACACAAGAGCCUCAAGUGGUGAGAGCGACUCCUCCAGACCCUCGACUGACAGCUGAACUGAACCAGGAGAGAAAUGGAGUCACACUGCAGAUCUCCUCUGCUGCAGUGACAGACUCUGCUGUGUACUACUGUGCUGUGAGGCCCACAGUGACAGGAAACUACACAACUCUGUACAAAAACCUGUGGAGCAAACACACAACUCCUCAUGAAAGGUUUGUGUGUUUGAGCUGAAAGCUGCAGAAUAAA